rnacentral:rRNA from 1 species
CGUGGCUAAUCUGCCCUUGGGACCGGAACACCCCCGGGAAACUGGGGCUAAUUCUCGAUAGGUGAAGAACUCUGGAAUGAGUCUUUGCCAAAAAGUUGUUAAGGUUAUGCUCUUUGACAACGCCCAAGGAUGAGGCCGCGACCGAUCAGGUUGUUGGUGAGGUAAUGGCUCACCAAGCCUUUUACCGGUGCGGGCCGUGAGAGCGGGAGCCCGGAGAUGGGCACUGAGACAAGGGCCCAGGCCCUACGGGGCGCAGCAGUCGCGAAAACUUUGCAAUAAGCGAAAGCUUGACAGGGCUAUCCCGAGUGCCAUCCGCUGAGGAAGGCUUUUACCCAGUCUAGAACGCUGGGGGAAUAAGGAGAGGGCAAGUCUGGUGUCAGCCGCCGCGGUAAUACCAGCUCUCCGAGUGGUGUGGAUGUUUAUUGGGCCUAAAGCAUCCGUAGCUGGCUAAGUUAGUCCCUUGUUAAUCCACCGAAUUAAUCGUUGGAUUGCGGGGGAUACUGCUUGGCUAGGGGACGAGAGAGGCAGACGGUAUUUCCGGGGUAGGGGUGAAAUCCUAUAAUCCCGGGAAGACCACCAGUGGCGAAGGCUGUCUGCUAGAACGCGCCCGACGGUGAGGGAUGAAAGCUGGGGGAGCGAACCGGAUUAGAUACCCGGGUAGUCCCAGCUGU